rnacentral:lncRNA from 1 species
AAAGUAAUAAACAAAAAGAAAAGGAAGUGGAUAAGGACGAAGGAAAAGGGAAAAGAAAAAAAUAAUGAUGAUGCAUGAGGCAGAGGGAAAGGAAGGAAAAGAGGAAAGGAAAGGAGAGGAAGGAUCCUUAUAUUUAGUAGACUCAAACUCGAGAGUCAUGCUGUGGCAAGUCGCCAUCACCAAAUAAAAAAGAACCACCUCAUCAUCCUCAUGCCCCCAUUGCCCAUUUUGUAAGGGACAGCUAUUCACCACUGCACGUGACUCCCUCCCCUCCU